UGUCCCAUUUAACCAUCACAAAGUCUCACGGAAGAGAUUUUAGUAGCCAUGCAUAUUGAAGCAUGCUUAUAGAUUAAAGGUGCUGUGAUCUGGAGAGGGGCUUUUCAGUAUCCUCCUUGUAUAUGAAAUGACCGGACACUAAGAC
ensembl:snoRNA LOC120097589 small nucleolar RNA SNORA29